GGAAGGUUGGCAGAGAGGUCGAUGGCGUCAGUCUUGAAAACUGAAGACCUGCAAGGGUCCGGGGGUUCGAAUCCCUCACCUUCCGCCA
rnacentral:tRNA from 1 species